UACGGGGGGGGCGAGCGUUGUUCGGAAUUACUGGGCGUAAAGGGCACGUAGGCGGUUCGCUAAGUUGGAUGUGAAAACUCUGGGCUCAACCCAGAGCCUGCAUCCAAAACUGGCGGGCUAGAGUUCUGGAGGGGGUAGCGGAAUUCCUGGUGUAGCGGUGAAAUGCGUAGAUAUCGGGAGGAACACCAGUGGCGAAGGCGACUUCCUGGCCUGUUCUUGACGCUGAGGCGCGAAAGCUAGGGUAGCAAACGGG
rnacentral:rRNA from 1 species